GACGUAGGUGGCGAACGUUAUCCGGAAUUAUUGGGCGUAAAGGAUGCGUAGAUGGUGUAGUAAGUUAUCGGUGGCAAAUCGAGGCUCAACCUCGUGGAAGUCGGUAAUACUGCUAUGCUAGAGGAUAGGAGAGGUUAACGGAACUCCCUGUGGAGCGGUGAAAUGCGUAGAUAUAGGGAAGAACACCAAUCAGGCGAAGGCAGUUAACUAUUCUGUUACUGACAUUGAGGCACGAAAGCGUGGGGAGCAAAACGG
rnacentral:rRNA from 1 species